CCCUGUGGAUGCCAACACACACUUUCUGGUAGUUCGUGACUGUGUUCACUUUGCAUAUCGUGAUUCUAUUCAUCAUGUUUCUCACAAUGAAUUUAAUGAAUAUAUCUUAACAAAAGUCCAAUAGUUUUCGUUGGAACCUUUUCUGGUCUUUUGAAAGCUCUGGUCUUUUCACAGUGGCACAAUGGUGGGCACUGUUCCUUCAUACCUUGGAGAUCUGCCCCAGCUCUGCCUGUGCGGAGUAUUGCAUGUGCCCCCGUGACGUCAUUGGGUUUCUAUUGGGGACUCCGGUUUCCCCCCCCCCACAGUUCAAAAACAUGCUAAAGUGAACUGGAGUUGCCAAAUUGUCAGUAGGUGUGAGUGGUGUGUGAGUGUGCCCUGCGAUGGGUUGGUGCCCGUAGGUGUGAGUGGUGUGUGAGUGUGCCCUGCGAUGGGUUGGUGCCCGUAAGUGUGAGUGGUGUGUGAGUGUGCCCUGAGAUGGGUUGGUGCCCGUAGGUGUGAGUGAUGUGUGAGUGUGCCCUGAGAUGGGUUGGUGCCCGUAGGUGUGAGUGGUGUGUGAGUGUGCCCUGCGAUGGGUUGGUGCCCGUAGGUGUGAGUGGUGUGUGAGUGUGCCCUGAGAUGGGUUGGUGCCCGUAGGUGUGAGUGGUGUGUGAGUGUGCCCUGCGAUGGGUUAGUGCCCAUAAGUGUGAGUGGUGUGUGAGUGUGCCCUGAGAUGGGUUGGUGCCCGUAGGUGUGAGUGGUGUGUGAGUGUGCCCUGAGAUUGGUUGGUGCCCGUAGGUGUGAGUGAUGUGUGAGUGUGCCCUGCGAUGGGUUGGUGCCCGUAGGUGUGAGUGGUGUGUGAGUGUGCCCUGAGAUGGGUUGGUGCCCGUAGGUGUGAGUGGUGUGUGAGUGUGCCCUGAGAUGGGUUGGUGCCCGUAGUGUCCAAGAUAGGCUCCAGGCCGACGCGACGAUGCACAAACACCAAAGCUGAAGCCCUGCUAUUGCGGUCAUAUCUAGCCUUUUGAAAAUUACAUUCCUGGACGCUGGACGCAUUCUUUACAUAACUGCUGUUUACAUUAAUACAUUGCACAAGUGACUCACGAGUUCCUAAGUGCCAGCCAGCAACAUCUGUGUUUAUGGUGAAACAUUCAACGUCUUGUCUAGCACUAGGAUGGCAGUGAACUCUCAGAGUACAGUCAUUGUUUUGCGCUUCUGGGCCACUGCAUUACUCUGCCCUUUAUACUGAGCUACAUGAAGCAACAAGCAAAGCAGGGGAGCAUGAAGUCUUGGUGUGAACAGAGUCGAGAUGCGGGGUUUCUCUGUAGCAGAAAGGGGCUGGAAUUGGCUUGUGAAGUAUUUGAAUUAUCUUGGAAAACCACGGAAGAUGUAUCUCACUGUGGAUUAUUCUGAGUACCUCGUUUUUGUUCAUAUUUUAGGUGAUAUCAUUGUGAUGUGGUUUGUCUAAAAGCUACAUUUUUAACGUUCUUGAACGUUGGUUUAUGUUAAUCCUAAAACAUUGCCGAACCAAACACACUUUUAGAAACUGGGUAAAUAAAGUAACAAUGAAAGCACUUUGCUCACUGCAGUCUCACUGGCAUGUAAAGAAAUUAGCAGGUAAAUUACACCUCUACCGCUGGUUUUUAUAUUAGCGUGACAGUUAUACAAAUUAGUAACAAGUGCAAACAUUAUGAUAACACGGAAAAAUUAGUUUAUGCAGGACUGUGGUUUAAAACCACAAAAGUCCAGGUUGAUAUUAGAGUUUCUGCUGCUGAAAUGAGCGAAGAUGCAUGUUCUCUAUGCGUGUGGGUGCUUGUGGCAUGAGAUGCAUCUGCGUGAUACUUUUACCCAUCAGAUAUUUAUGUGUUCUGCUGUUU